UUGUUAUCUGCAGGGACAAAAGCAAGCAUCACAGUUUUCUAAAGGCGAGUGCUACUAAGGGCUGAGUUCACAUAUUCUAUAAGCUCCCGCCUGGGAGCCUUGGUCCUGAUCGGUUGUGUGCAGUAGACUGGCACAGGUGGUAUUUGUGUUACUCAGCAGGAAUUGGCUCCAAGCCAAACCCAGCUUGCUUACAGAGAUGGAGGCUUCCUACAUGCUGUUCUUGGAUUGGGAAGACAAUUGCCUCUGUUCUACCUAAGGCAGGCUUCCUAGAACUCAGGCUGUCUGCAGCUGGCCUCCUGGUACAUUUCUCUUGUUCAAAUGUUCUUCUCUGUCCUAUAUAAUUUCUGUGAUGAAUUUCAAUGACCCAGGCCAUAUUGGGCCAAAAGAAACAAAGAGAAAAAAAAAAGCCAUUACUAAUAACAUCUUCCCUACGGCUGGCCCAGUCCCAAAAAGGGGUCUUUAGAGCCAGUAUGAACACCCUGCUUUUAGAAGAGGCCCAUUCUGCUCCCCUCAGCCAUUCUGUUCUCCAAAGAGUUCUAAGUCAAGGCAUAGAGGACAUAUACACCUGGUUUCAGCACACUUACCUUUUAGACCGUGAUCGUGUUGUUUAAUACCCUACCCAAGGAGCACCAGAUCUAAGACCAGGCUAGAGCUGUUCCCCUCCCUACCAAGGGAUUCCAGGUAUUUGUGGUCACGAGUGACCAGGCCAGAAGUUUGGAAGAUGGACUCAGGCUUUGGGCUGUAGCUUGAACUCUGGCCCCUGCCUAAAAAAUAUAAAGGGUGUGGUCACAGCUUUCUCGUUUCCUGGCUUUGUGAAGUUCAUAAGAAUCACUUAUGAACUAGGACCAGAAUUAUGAUGUAGGCUAGAAAAAAAUAACAGAAAUGUUGAUUAUUUUAAAAACUUAGAAAUGUAUUGGAUUUGUUUUACUUAAAUCUAGUGACCUAUUUGUAAUGUAACUGAAUCCACUUGUUUUCUAAAUCUUUCCACUGAGACUUCAAAAAUACUAUUAGAGACAACAUUUACUAGUCCUUGCUGCUGGGUGAAAGGUAAAGCCAAGAGUAGAGGUGGGAGGCAGAGAUGUGUUUUCUUGGAUUCCCUCUGCCUUCCUUCCAUCCCCUGUGGGAAUGGGAGGGUCGGAGGAAUUUUAUACAACAGCAGGACCUCCUAGUGUUGCCUUAACUGAGAGCACACAGGGGUGACAAUUUACUCAUGGGAUCAUUUGGUAUUAAAUUAUAAUCAAAAUUUAAACAUAAACCUCUUAAAGAGAAAGAUGUGGUGUGUGUUGGUAUCUGGAAGCCUGAGGACUUUACGUGUUCACCUAAUUCUCUCACUGAAUUUGGAGCUAGGCUGGUUGGUGUCUCUACCCCUCACAGAGCGGGAGUUACGGGAAACUGCAACCAUGACCAGCUUUUCACAUACAUGCCAGGAUCUAAAGCCAGGUCCUCAUGCCUGCACAGCAAGCACUCUUCCCCACCGAGCCACCUCUCCAGCCUUUAUGCCCAUCUUCGAAGAAAGCAGCUCACAGACUAUUGGUUAAAAUCUAGAAUGUUCCCUCACAAUCCCCACGAGUUACAUCGUUGGCUCAGAUCUUUCUCUAAAUUUUAAGGAAUACUUGACCCUUUUCAUUUUUCCUGAUUGUAAGAACUGUCACCAUUUGACCACUCAUAGUAACAAGCUGUCCAGGGUGUAUGUUACACUAAACUUUCUGCCAAGUAGAACAUGACGUCAGCGCAGCCCUUGACAGACAUAAUGCCAGUGUGGGACGGGGAUACACUAACGCUUUCUGUAAAGGACCAGCCAGGGAAUAAACAUUUCAGGUUUUGUGAGCCACACUGGUUAGAACCAUUCAGUUCUGCCACUCAAGAAGUUAUAGGACAUAGAUAAGCAAGUUAUCCUGGCUGCGAUCCAAUAAAACUUUAAAAAAAAAAACCAAAAACCAGAAAUUGUUAUCUAUACGUGUGUCCAGGAGAUAUUGUUUGUAGAUUCUUGUUCUAGACAUCCCAAGAAUGUAAGCAUCUAGGAGUGAUUACCAAAGGAGAACCACAGUGGCCAGCAAAUUCAAGAACCUGGACGUCACACCCCCAAUUCUUACAGAAUCUGUGAAACCAAGGACGGAACUGGUUCACUGGAAUCACUGGAACCACUCCCCUUGGAUUCCUCCAGCUCCAUGAGAAAGGCAGCCACAUGAGAACGGCAGUGUUUAGAAUCUGGCUACUGAACAACACUGAAAUGGAUCUAGGAGCCAUUGUUCUCCACUUGGAACUGUCCUGUCUAGAAGCUACCAUGGUUCCCCCAGAGGGGGUUAGCAAAAUGGUCAUCCAGGGAUGUUUCCAGGAGGCAAAGCAAGCACUGGGUACACACACAGCCCCCGUCUGUGUUUUUAAAAACAGAGACAGUCACCCAGGCCCUUCUGGAACUGUCUCAUUCCUAAAGGUUCUCAAGAUAGAAUGUGCCUCUCUCUUUGAAGAUGUAUUUGGUUUAUGGUUGGAAUGUCAAACUCAAUGCCUUCAUGGGCUUGGCCAGUAAGCUAACCAUGUGCAUCCCCAAAUGCAGACGGAUCCCUGUGGGGGCCUUGCUUGUGUUAUGGGUAAACGGACUCAUAGGUGUCUGCUGGAUGGUAGCCAAAUGUCACAGUUUUUAUGCUCCACUUAUAAACGGAGGGUGUUCCCUGCACCGAAGGACAAUGACCAGUGUAGGUUUUCUCUGUUUGAGUGCUCCAAGGAGAGGGCGCAGCUUUACCCCAAACAUCUCCAUUCUGACCCUGCCCUUCCUUUAGUCUGCAAUAUCCAUGAGCAAUAGGAAUGCAUGACAUGUGGAUACACCGCAUGCAGAGAGACUGACGUGCAUGGAGGUGAGGCGGAGAACAAGAACGGCCUUCCCUGAAGCUAGAGGGAAGGGGUGGAGGAGGAACUCAGGGCUCAUGGCUGUCAGAUGAAGAGGUGACAUUUCUUCAGAUGGUUCCAGACCUCCCCACAGAUUCCCUACUCACAGGCCUGAGGGCAGCAGCAGGAAUCUGGGCAGCAUGGGCAGCGGACGUAGCAGCAGCAACUGUGAGGGCAGCACUGGCACCAGCAGAUCCCCACCAGCACGAAGAACAGGAAGAUCCCCAGGAUUACCAGGCCGACAAACACCCACUCUGGAAGGAUGCACAAAGAAAUCUACUCGAGGUAGCCCCCCUUCAGGACACGGCAUACAUGGAUGGGUGUCUACCUGCAAAAGUGAGAGAAAACAAACAGCUCGACAUUUUCUGAAUGGCUCCCUCUUAUCCAACUUCAGUACAUUGAUGUCCAAGCCAACCUUUCUAGAGAAUGAGAAAACUCUGUGUCUGUCUUGAACUGUGUGGAGAACAUUCUUGGAGAGGAUAACCAAUAGCAAGCAACCCAAGCCUUGACUUAGAAAAAGGAGGUAUACAAAAGGCUUAUCCAAGGGGAUUAGUUCAUCCUGGGAAAAGACAACCAACAUUAUACAGAUAAAUGCACCUCCCCCCACCAAAUCCUAACAAGUAACUCGUGACUAACGCAGAAGCAGACAGAUGGAGCGACAGCAAAUAAAGGGUUAAAUGAUGGAUGACAGCAAAUAAAGGGUUAAAUGGUGGAAUACCUGGCAUAAUCUCCACAGCAAAACUGGGCAAGAGGUCAGCAAGCAGCCCUGUCCUGCCUAGAGGAAGCAGAAGGAAAAGAAGAAGGAAGAGGUUACUCCAAAGGAAAACACAGCCCUGUUCCUGGCACUCGCUGGUGCCAAGCCCUCACAGGGCCACACUGCUCUGUACACUCUGUGGUAGGAGAGGUACAUCAAGGCUGGGCCUGGUCAAAGGGGAUGGCUAUACCAAGCACUUUGGGUGGCCAUCCAAGGGGAAGGGUGCACCUACCCUAGGUGGAAGCAGAAACGGGGCCUUGUCUCUGACUAUAGGAAGAGGAAAUCUCGCCUCCACGAGAGAAACCCUGCUUGAGCAGACUGACACGCUCCAGCCCCGUGCUUUCACACAGCCUUCUCCACACACUUCAGUGGAAAGUCAAACCCAUCUGUAUCUAAACAUUCAAUCUACAUUUUCAUACAAUCCAUACACAGCCCCAUGUCCAUAUCAAAACAAAAGUACAUAUUUGGUUUUAACUUAGAAUUAACUAGCUACAUGGUUCUAUUUAUGGCUUGAAGAUAUCUCAAUGAUUAAAAUGUUCAAAGGCGAUGAAAAGAUAACGCUAGACUGGCUACACACUCCUCUACACUCCUUCUGGCUUCAGAAAUACUCUGUACAUAUGUAUAUGGUAUGGUUUUUCCAUAUGGCACCCACAGCUGGCGUCGUAUGUGCAAAAGUGCCUUCUGUGUGAUAUUGCAUAGAAACUUCAAGAUUGGUGUCGGAACAGGUGCUCCUCGGGGACUCUGGGAAUUGAAGAGCUGCACAGGAAACACGGCGCUAAGUGAUUUGAAGGAGGACGUGAGUCUGACUUACAGAAGAUACUUUGCAUGUUUUCACCAUAGCCUGAGGUAUCACUACCACCCUGGAACUUUGCUAACAAAGUAGGACGCUCUGCUAGGAUGCAAAUAGCAAACGUCCCAUCUGUCCUGGGAUGACAAAAGGUCACUGUGGUACAUGUAAGGCAUGCACCUGAAUCCUUCUUGAAUUCAGAGUAUGGCGAACAUCUCCAGAACAGCACCAUCCAAUGACAGUGCAAUGCUAACUGCAUUGGUAACUUUAGCUUUUCCAGUAAUAGCAUUAAAAAUGUACACACAAACGGAAA